UACAGAGGGUGCGAGCGUUAAUCGGAAUUACUGGGCGUAAAGCGUGCGUAGACGGUUAUUUAAGUCGGGUGUGAAAGCCCCGGGCUCAACCUGGGAAUUGCAUUCGAGACUGAAUAGCUAGGGUACGGUAGAGGGAAGUGGAAUUUCCGGUGUAGCGGUGAAAUGCGUAGAUAUCGGAAGGAACACCGAUGGCGAAGGCAGGUCUCUGGGCCACUACUGACGCUGAGAAGCGAAAGCAUGGGGAGCGAACAGG
rnacentral:rRNA from 1 species